GAUGAACGCUGGCGGCGUGCUUAACACAUGCAAGUCGAACGAAGCACUUUAUUUGAUUUCCUUCGGGACUGAUUAUUUUGUGACUGAGUGGCGGACGGGUGAGUAACGCGUGGGUAACCUGCCUUGUACAGGGGGAUAACAGUUGGAAACGGCUGCUAAUACCGCAUAAGCGCACGGCAUCGCAUGAUGCAGUGUGAAAAACUCCGGUGGUAUAAGAUGGACCCGCGUUGGAUUAGCUAGUUGGUGAGGUAACGGCCCACCAAGGCGACGAUCCAUAGCCGACCUGAGAGGGUGACCGGCCACAUUGGGACUGAGACACGGCCCAAACUCCUACGGGAGGCAGCAGUGGGGAAUAUUGCACAAUGGGCGAAAGCCUGAUGCAGCGACGCCGCGUGAGCGAAGAAGUAUUUCGGUAUGUAAAGCUCCAUCAGCAGGGAAGAUAAUGACGGUACCUGACGAAGAAGCACCGGCUAAAUACGUG
rnacentral:rRNA from 1 species